CGGCCGUUAGGGGAAAUGGCUAAACCCGCCUGGCUCUCAACCAGGAGUUUCUAUUCAUAGAAUAUUAUCGGUUCAAGUCCGAUACGGUCGACCA
rnacentral:tRNA from 1 species